rnacentral:sRNA from 1 species
AUUCCCGGCUGACGCUGCCUGCAGCCUCUCUCCACGGUGACCUCGAGAGCAGAAAAGAGGCAGCCAGUCGUGCACCUGGGAAGCUGCUGCCCCCCAGCCACUUCCCAGGUCUCAGAGGAGACCCCCACCAGCCUGGGCCUCAGCCCCUCCUGUUCCUCACAGGGGCUACCAGCCAACACCAGCCAUGGCCAAGUACGUCAAGAUCCUGUACGACUUCACAGCCCGAAAUGCCAACGAGCUAUCGGUGCUCAAGGAUGAGGUCCUAGAGGUGCUGGAGGACGGCCGGCAGUGGUGGAAGCUGCGCAGCCGCAGCGGCCAGGCUGGGUACGUGCCCUGUAACAUCCUAGGCGAGGCGCGGCCCGAGGACGCCGGCGCCCCCUUCGAGCAGGCCGGUCAGAAGUACUGGGGCCCCGCCAGCCCGACCCACAAGCUGCCCCCAAGCUUCCCGGGGAACAAAGACGAGCUCAUGCAGCACAUGGACGAGGUCAACGACGAGCUCAUCCGGAAAAUCAGCAACAUCAGGGCGCAGCCACAGAGGCACUUCCGCGUGGAGCGCAGCCAGCCCGUGAGCCAGCCGCUCACCUACGAGUCGGGCCCGGACGAGGUCCGCGCCUGGCUGGAAGCCAAGGCCUUCAGCCCGCGGAUCGUGGAGAACCUGGGCAUCCUCACCGGGCCGCAGCUCUUCUCCCUCAACAAGGAGGAGCUGAAGAAGGUGUGCGGCGAGGAGGGCGUCCGCGUGUACAGCCAGCUCACCGUGCAGAAGGCCUUCCUGGAGAAGCAGCAAAGUGGGUCGGAGCUGGAAGAACUCAUGAACAAGUUUCAUUCCAUGAAUCAGAGGAGGGGGGAGGACAGCUAGGCCCAGCUGCCUUGGGCGGGGGCCUGCGGAGGGGAAGCCCACCCGCAAUGCAUGGAGUAUUAUUUUUAUAUGUGUAUGUAUUUUGUACCAAGGACACGGAGGGGGUGCGGUGCUGGCUAGGGGUCCCUGCCCCUGUCUGGAGGCACAAGGCCCAUCCUUAGGCCCAGCAGUACCCAAGGCCCAGCCCACACCAAGACCAAUCUCAGCCAAACCUGCUGCCUGGUGGUACCAGCCCCUUGUCCACCUUCUUCUGAAGCCACAGAACUCCCUGGGGCUGGGGCCUCUUUCUCUGUCUUCCCCUGUGCACCUGGGGGGUCCUGGCCCCUGUGAUGCUCCCCUAUCCCCACCCACUUCUACAUCCAUCCACACCCCAGGGUGGGCUGGAGCUCCAGGCUGGCGGGGCUGAUCCCCGCACAUACGCAGGGUUCUGCUCCCUGAGGGGGGCCUGGGAGGGGCUCCAGCAGGAGGCCAUGGCUGCCAUUCAGGGGAAAGUUGGGGGACGACACACACUUGACCUGCAAGGGCCAACGACGCAGGGGACACCGUGCCGGCUUCAGACACUCCCAGAGCCCACCCUCACAGGCACAGGACUGGAGCUUUCUCCAGCCAAGUUUCAGGCCACUGAUCCUCGCAUGGUGUUGGGGGUGCUGGUGUGUUUUGGUGCCUGGACUUGGGUCUCACCCUACAGAUAAGAGGUGGCUGAGGCAUCAGGGCUAAGCAAUUAAACCAGUUAAGUCUCC